rnacentral:rRNA from 1 species
UACGUAGGGGGCAAGCGUUGUCCGGAUUUAUUGGGCGUAAAGAGCGUGUAGGCGGCUUUACAGGUCCGUUGUGAAAACUCGAGGCUCAACCUCGAGACGCCGGUGGAAACCGUAAAGCUAGAGUCCGGAAGAGGAGAGUGGAAUUCCUGGUGUAGCGGUGAAAUUCGUAGAUAUUCGGAAGAACACCAGUGGCGAAGGCGGCUCACUGGACCGUUGUUGACGCUGAGGUGCGAAAGCGUGGGGAGCAAACAGG